rnacentral:lncRNA from 1 species
UUGUGUUUUAGGUUUGAAUUUGCAAGAGAUGUGUAUGAUGUACUACAAAAAAAAAGAUCAUAUUAUAUUACAUAAAUAAUAUCAGAAAAAACAAAUGAUACCAAUUUGAAACACUUAUUAAUAAAUGAUACAACAUAUUUGAAAUUGUACAUUCCCAUUUUUAUUUUAUAUCUAUUUGCAGUAAUCAUUAGAAUUAUGUUGAUUUUUAAAAUAUUAUAUGUUAGUUGUGUGUAUUAAGUUUUAUCAUUGUUGAGUUUUUGAAAAGAAUGAACUUUUUAAAAUUCACGAUUAAUGUUGACUUUAAGUUCCACCCGGCGACUAAAUUUAUGUAUAUUAUUGUUGCUAAAUUGAUUAGUUAUAAUUUAAAAAAGUUCUAAUUUAUUUUUUAAGUAAAACUCAAAUUCUCUUGCUUAAAGUAUGAACACACAUUUUUCAGUUUGUUUGUAGUAAAUACAUUUGACAUUGAUUUUCGAUAUUGUUGCGGUAACAUGUAAUCGUAGUUUUUAUAUUCUUAUAUAUUUUAUGUUAAAUGGUAGCCUCUUAAAUCUAACCCAAUAUAAAUGUUGUCAAGUUAUUUUUUUUAAUAUUCGUUUUUAUAUAUAACCAACACCAAAAAUCAAGCAUGCAAAUAUGGAUUUUGGUCCUUACUUAGAAACUAUGGGUAGUGAAUGAUAUGACCUAUUUGAUUCCCGGACGGAAAUAGUUUUUAGAGAGAGUUUUCUAUUACUAAAUAUAAUUUAUAUCAUAAAUCUAAAAAGCAGAGACGAAAUAUUGCAUUAAUAAUAUAUUAUGGUAUGAAAACUUAAAAGGCAAGAAAAACUAAUAUAAUACAUGCCCUAGGAACAAAGGGAAAGUGUGAGGUUGUGACACUUCUUCAUUUUUUUUUCUUUUUGCUAAAACACUUCUUCAAUUCUCUUAUAUAAAGCACAAAUUUGCAAAGAAUGAGAAAUUGACGUUACCAUGAAAGAACAAUGCGAGGAACACCAGAACUAAAUUUUAUCUUGCUUCCUCAGGUCCUUGAAAGUAAAUGAAUAUAUUUCGACUUGUUUUGAUUGAGAAACUGUGGUGUGGUUUGUGUGAUGUCUUAAAUUGUUGACUCUCCUGUGCGUUUUGUUUUUUUCUCUUUGAAUUUCAUAUACUCGUUUUUGAUGUAUCGAUUAGUCUUUUCGAUUGAACUUUAAUACCGAAUAAAGUUGUAAGAUGAUAUUUAAAAAAAAAGUAAAUAACAUAUAUGUCUAACCGGAGUUAUAUAGAUGACGAUAGUUUGAGAUUUUGUGAUUUCUUAGACGUAUUUUUUUAACCAAUUUCUUAGGCAUAUUAUGUUGAUUGUUUGUUGGUCUUGGCGUGAAUAUUUAUGAAAAUGAAUAAUCAUGAUUUUAUGAUUAAUAAUAGAUUAAAUUUAUAAUAUAAUUUACAAAGGUUGAAAAUUUCUUACUUUCUACAAUUUUUAUAAAAUUUAACUUAUUAGUACAAAAUUUGUAAUAUUUGUUAUUCUAUUGGUGGUGGCAAAUCUUUUAUUCAUAUAGCUUAGGAAACAUUCUAAUGAAUUUUUUCAUAUGUUAGAGAUUUUUUUUUUGUUACUGUCUUUUACAUAUUUAUGAUUUAUAAAUUUAAGUGUUUUCAGAUAUUUUUUUAUUAGUUAUUUCUCUUUUUCAAAGAGUUGAUUUUUAUUCUAAAAAUUAAUUUUUGAAAAAAAGCAAAGAAAACUAAAUAAGUGAGUACACCGUUUUUAUGUUCUCUUUCAUUCAAACACCCUUUACAUCAUUGCGAUGUUUUUUCCAAAAUUCUCAAAUUCAUUAGGUGACGAAAUACAAUGCAAAAAUAUGCAUCACCCCAUUAUAUAAAAUAGAAAGCUGAAAUCAGAGAAAUUAUGUAAUUUAUCCUAAGUAUAAAGAUUUUUUAAAAAGAUUCAGGUAAUGUUACUUGUUUUGGAUCCUGAAUUGUUAGAUGGACACAGACAUACACAUUUUUUUUCUCUUUACGAACCGAAAGAACUCUUAAUAAUAUAUUAACCUUACGCAGACGGAGGCCAAAAAUGGUAGAAACUGGCAAUAUGAAUUGUGAACAAAACGACAAAUACUAUUAGUUCAAACCAGUUCAUGAUUAGAAACACGUUACAAAUGAAAAAUCAGACACAAACCACACCAAACCAAAUAACCAAUUUUUCUAGCAAACCACCUGACAGAACUUGAUAUAUUGUAUCAACCGGACAACGAUUCUAUAACUUCUGAAACAGAAAGAUCCGACUCUUCUUCACAAAUAAGCCACUUUCUAUACUGCAGAAGAAUUUUACUCACUGUUGCUUACUCUCCAAUGGCUUCUCACCUUGUUGACCUUUCGCAAGUUGUAUGCUUCCAGACUUUGUUCACAAAGAAAAGAGCCUCAGGUUAUAUCAGCCCUUAAAUAACUAUAAGACAUAGAACCAAAGGUCGAUGUUGAGUAAUUGCUAAAACCUUGCGUCCAGCUGAUGACUGCAACAAAACAAAGAGAAAUCACCAAUAUCAAAUUCCGAGGUUUGAGUUAUAUGUAAAACCAUUUUAACCACUUAGUACCUUUUUAUGCUCUUCUUUCCUUGCUCAUCCUCUUCACUGUUGUCCUCGUCCUCCUACUCAUCUUCCUCCCUUCGCAUCCUCAUCAUCAUCAGUAAUCUCAUCAUCAUCGUUGUCCAUCUCAAGGUAAUAUGCAUCAACAACUUCACCAGUACACCUUGACACAACAUGCAAGAACUUCACCAGUAAACUUUGACACAACACGCAAGAUGAUUUUCUCUUUAAUGGUUUGAUCUACAGAAUAAACAGUCGACACAGUUAGAUCCUAGAACUGAGCUAAAAAGCAAAGAGAUCUGAAUAUGAGAUCAGAAGUCAGACCUGUUGUCAUAGUCGUGCUCCAUUUCGCCUUGGAGUUCUUCAGCAUGUGCAAUAAAAAAUUAUUAGGUUAACACUUAACGCGUUCUGAUUCUGAAGUACUAAAUCAAGUAUCAAGUUUUCUUUUGGGGAUGUCCAUACCUAUCCAUCAUCAGGAUCAUUGCAUGUUGUUCUCAGGAACUUGAAGAGUUACGAAACAAACCACUAAAAGAUUAGCAUUUUUCAAAAUAAUAUAUAUUAAAACAAAGAAAUCAUGAGUGGUACCACUAAGAGAUAUGAUCGAUAGGAUUAUACCUGCGGUGAAAUCAAGUCGUUCUUCUUGUUGCUCAUUUUUGCAGGAUCUAGACUCCCUCAUCAUCACACAUAAAGCAUAAAUCAUAAAAAAAAAAAAAAAAAAAAAAAAAAAAAAAAAAAAAAAAAAAAAAAAAAAAAAAAAAAAAAAAAAAAAAAAAAAUACAGAACAAACAAACACGAAGAGGUUCGACAGUAUUUCGCAAAUUCAACGAUCAAUAAGAGGUUUUAUUUCUAAUAUAUAAACCUAAUCAAAAAUAUAACAAAACAUAAAGAAGAUAGUCGGAUUCUUGUAUAAACCAAGAACUUUAAAUUUCUCGAGAAACUAAAAUUAAACACGAACAAACAUGAAGAACUUCGCCGGAAUCUCGCAAAUUCAACAAUCAGUAAGAGGUUCUGAUCAAAAAAAGAGGUUCUCUCUAAUAAAAAAAAUAUUAAAUCUAACAAAACACAAAAAGUUCACCGGAAUUUUAGUAAUUCCAAGAGGAGAAAUCCCACCUCUAUUUAUACAGAUCCUGGCACCGCCUCUAAGAUCGAAAAGAAGCUUUGAAUACACAUCGUGAUGGAGCGAAUAAAUAGCAUUUAUGAGGAAGCCAUUAACCACACCAUUUCAGGUCAUCAGAAGAAGCGCAGAGGUCACGAGACAACUCUGUUUCUUUCGUUUCUUCGAUGCAGGGUAUUAGGAUUAGAGGGAUCUCCUUCUUGGCCCCAGAAUCUUACCAAUUAAACAGCCCAGUACACCAUAUAUUACGAACGAAGCCCACAAAGAUAGAUGUCAAAUGAAGUGUUGCGUUUUGGAUGCAGGGACAUAUGUCGUAUCAGCAGAGCUCGAAUUGAUGAGCUGGAAUCCUAGGUGGACACCCUGGGAGUGAUUCAUGGGUCUUGUUUAUAUAUAAAGAUAUGAAUAUUGCUUUGGGUUGGUUCAGGUUGGUUUGGUUCGUUUUUUUGUCCAUCCUUAGGCCUUAGUAAUAAUAAUAAGCCUUGUCUGAUCCGGUUUAAUUUAAGCCUGGUUCGAAUCCGGUUUAGCCUUGCGCCAGUUACAAGGUUCGGUUCACACUGUAGCAAGGAGUAUAUAUUACUUUAACAAAUCAAAUAAAUUUCUUGUGAUAUACAAUAAAAUGAAUAGAACUUUAUAACAACCAAGACUUCCUUCAACUCUCUGCUCUCUAUGCAGCUAAGCACUCUUUUGGAAGACCUUGAGGAAAUCUCUUCGUAUCCGUGCAAUAGUUGUAGAUCAUGUAGUUUUUCUGCACCCAUCUCAUCCUUUCUUGAGCCGUUGAAUCAAGCUCCUGGGACAGCCACGAGCCACUGGUCCCCUGUCCCGAGCCAUUAGGACAAGACGACUUGCCGUUUGACCAAACACAAGCUUCUUGGUUGAAGCCACGGUAAGAAGCAGUGAAAGGAGCUUUAGACCAAUCGGUUUUGACCAAACCACCUCUAGUGGCCCAAUCAUCAGCGUUCCAGAGACUAGAAUACAUUCUCAUUGGUUGGUUAUUGGGAAAUAGAGUACCAACAGAUUCCAUGUUCUUGAAUUCUCUAAUGGGAGUUCCAUCGACUGUGAAAAUGAUUCGUUGUGGGUUCCAUAGAAUGGUGUAAGUGUGGAAAUCAGCUGUUGGGUCGAACCAGAGUUUGAACUGCUGUUCUUUGUCUCCUUUGCCUUGUGUGUAGACAUUUGUGUGAAGUGUGUAAGGAUCUCCACUUAGGUUCCCUAAGAACUCGAAGUCAAUCUCGUCCCAUGUUGUUCCGGGUGAUUUCAACUGUAACGAAAAACUAAUUUUAGUAACAAGAACUUCAAAAUGUAACAAAAGAAAAAGAAACAUGGUUAUGUAACUUACGUAGAGUGUUGUGACUGUUCCUGCGGAGUUACCAGGGACGAGUUUCAUCUGCAUGUCGAUUUUUCCGAACAAGUACUCGUUCUUGGACUGGAAACCAGAGCCAGAUGAUUUGUCUAGAGACAAAGUGAGAAGCUCUCCAUUGUUUGUGAUCUGUCCACGUCCAUCUCCCCAAGUGAUCUCAACGUCUCUAUGGAAAUUAGCUGAAACAGAGGAGAUGACUAUAAGAGAGAGAAACAAAGGAAGGAAGUAACUGUGUGCCAUUUUGAGAGAUUUAUGGGUUUUCUUAUUUGAUCUUGUGACUUGUGUUGCGUUUGUUUUGUGGUUUUGAGGGUUUAUGGAAUAUUCUAUUUAUACUAGUAGUAGUAAUAGUAGACUAAUACUCCAGCAAAGGUUUAAUAAGAGGAAGGUUCGUAUGGUGAAAGAGGUAGCCGCGGUUUGUGAGGCAACAGCUGGAGAUUGGGCCAUCUUUGUAGUAAAAGCUGUAUUCAAUUGGCUUUGGAGUUCACGCGGUUUUUUUAAUAACGUUUUUAAUUAAAAACAUGUUUAAUAUUAUUUGUUUUUGGGGUUUUCUUAUUUGAUCUUGUGACUUGUGUUGCGUUUGUUUUGUGGUUUUGAGGGUUUAUGGAAUAUUCUAUUUAUACUAGUAGUAGUAAUAGUAGACUAAUACUCCAGCAAAGGUUUAAUAAGAGGAAGGUUCGUAUGGUGAAAGAGGUAGCCGCGGUUUGUGAGGCAACAGCUGGAGAUUGGGCCAUCUUUGUAGUAAAAGCUGUAUUCAAUUGGCUUUGGAGUUCACGCGGUUUUUUUAAUAACGUUUUUAAUUAAAAACAUGUUUAAUAUUAUUUGUUUUUGCUUUCAAAUUAAAUUGGAUCUUUACAAUCAAAAAGCUGCAUUUGGGAGUUGGAUACUUUUUUUUACCACCGGCUUAGACCGACAUUGACAGAGAAAAAGGUUUUCUCUAAUAGAACCAAGAGAUUCUGUUAUAACAAAAGAUAGAAAGUAAAAAGAUGUUUAAGAAAAUUAAUUAGAAUAUGAUAAUCUAUGAGUUUUAUUUUUUCUAUAUUUCAGUUAUCUUGGUUCUGUUAUUCUUAUUCCUGACUAUUAUUAUGAUAUAUGCAAAUUUAAAAUUUAGUUAAGGUGAGUAUUUAUUCCCAUCGCCACAUAACAAAUGUAGAGUGGUUAAGAAAAUAGGAUAAGGAUCCAUAUUGUAUUUGUUUUCUAAAUAAAUUGAUCGAUUCAAAAUUUAAAGCAGGGGGAACAAGAGAGAUUGCCACGUUGAAGGAAUAAGAUAGUUGUUGGGUAAAUCAUCACUAACUGACUCAAAUAUUUUGAUUUUGUGGUGGAGACAGCUAAGACACUCAAGUUGAUGGCGGUCGUGGUCCCGAAGUUUCGUAAUACAAAUUGCUAGAUCCUCAGCGCAGUCCGAACUCUUGCGCAAACUCUAGAAAUCUAAAUUCGAUCAAAACCGUGUGCAGAAUACACGAAAAGAACGUGUGAUGGUCAUGGUCCAGAAGUUUCUUAGUCAUGAUUUUUCAGAUGUAUAUGAUAUAACUCAUUUGCAUAUUUUGGGUUUAGAAUUCUUUAUUUAUUGUAUAAAUUGAAAUUUACAUGUAUAAUUUUUCAAAUGAUUAAAAUUCCUCAUAACAUCAUAUACUUUUACUUACUUGUUUCACUUUUAGUGGGCCUAAUUAGGCAACCGUCGUUUGUCGUCCAUAUAUGGAUGUAGAGUUACCGGUUUGGUUUGCAGAAUAUAUAUGAAUCUAUUUUAAAUUGCUGACAAAAAAUAAUAGAGCCUAUUUAAACCAAGACUUUUUCUGAAGAUUAACCUUGCACUCAAAGGUUAGUCUUGAUUCUCUAGACUCUGGUUGACUUGCUCUCAAAUGUUUUAUUUAAGUCUUUGACUCUCUUAUUGGUAUGCGAAUGUUUGGGUUCACAUAUUGUUUGCUAGAUGCUAGAGCUUUGCUUGAGCUUCCUAUUAAAAUGGUAGACUCAAUAUUAGACAUGGAUAUAUCUUUCCCACUUAUGGUUGGACAGUUUUGUUAUCUAUUACAGAUUCAAAAACUGAAAAUGAAUUUGACAGGUUUCCAUUUAAAGACAGAAAAUAAACCCCAACCGUUAUAAACGCACGGAUAAUGAUGGAAAAUCUUUGAAUCUCCCGUGGAAAUUAUGCUCUCACUCACUCAGAGGUCAGAACUGUCAACUCUAAUGGUAAAGAAUUAUGUCCCAUGGUAGAUAUGUCAAGCUCUUUGAUAAAAAAAAGAUAUGUCAAUUGUCAAGUUCAUAUCAAAUCAAUAAUGAAAAAUGGAUUUAGCAAUCGGUUCUCAUCUCUAAUCCAAAAAAAUUAUGGGUUUUGAUCCGAAAUUUCUUACAAUAAAAAAACACUAUGCUUUCAUCUAGACAUUUCAAAUGUGUCGAACCAAGAACUUUCUUUAUUGUCCUUCCAUAUGUUGCUAUAUUUUCUCACAAGACAAACACACUAUAAUUGAUAUUUUCUUAUUGUCUAACAUAAAUAUAAUAUUUAAUCACCAUGGUUAUAAAAUACAAUAUACUAGUGACAAAAAUAUUCAACAAAAUGUAUAUUAUCCUUUAUAUAUUAAUCGAGAAUCAUUAUAACAUACGAAUGAUGUCAUAUGUCAUUACUACGAUAAUUCUUAAAAUAAUUAGAGAAAUAAGUUAUUCCAUCUAAAUAUAUUAUAUUUUUCAUUAAAAAUAAACAUAAAUUAAUUAGUAAUUUACAAAAAAAUUAUUUGUUUCUUAAAUAAAAGGUACAAAAUUAUCUAAUGUGAUUAAAUAUAUAAGAAAUUAGUGAUUUUGAAUAAUAAAAAAAUUGAUAACAAUUUGUGUGUGAUCUAUCAAUUUCGUUUAAUUUAGUUAUAAAAUUUUAACUUUGUUGUAUAUGUUAUACUUUGGAUUUUUUUAAAAAAAUUACUAAAAUUAAUAAAACUAUUAAAAGUCUUACAUUAAAAAUUUUGUGCUCAGUGGUUUUAAUAUUUUGAUAUAACAAGAUACAAAUGAUCAUAAAACAAUUUGAGUAAGAAAUUUGAUUUAAUAGAUAUUCAAAUUAAAAAUAUGUAUCUAUUUUAGUAUAGUUUAAAUUAAUAUAUAUACCAUAUAAAAUACAUUAUUAUUAUUAUUAUUAUUAUUAUUAUUAUUAUUAUAAUUUCAAAAAUUUUAAAAUAUGUAUCAUAUUUGAAUUUAUAAAAAUUAUAAAAUUUUAUAAUUUAAUUUGAUCGAAUCAUUAACAUAUAUUUUACAUAUCUUUUGUUAUUAUUUUAAAGUAAUAAUAAAAAUUAUAUACUUAACAAAUAUUUUAUUAAAUAUUUUACUCCUUGAGAAAUGCAUAUUAUCUGUUCUAUUAAAACUGAAGUACAAAACAUUACUUUCCUAAUUUUUAAUGAAUUCUUAAAUCUUUUUCAUUUCUUUUUAAACUAAUUUUAACCACUUCAUUUAUUGUCUUUUCUAAAUAAUUUGACAACUUUUAUUACAUAAAUGUAAAAUAGAAUAUGUCUAUUUAAAGUGUUUUAUUACAUUUUUUUACAUUCAAUUUUUAACUCUUCAUAACUACUUCAUUAAUUAUCUUUAUAGUGAUAAUUCUAGAUCAUUUAUUUUAUGUGUUAACCAUAAUAAUUAUACAUAUUUGAAUACAAUUGCUCCAUUCGUCACAAGAAUUCUAUCUGGUUAACACAUAAUUUUUAUUUGUUUACAUAUAUAUGUAUGAGUAUUUACUACUCCCUCUGUUUCUGAAUAAGUGUCACUUUGACAUUUUUCACACAGAUUAAGAAAAUGACCGAAAUAUAUGUAAGUUGUUAUUAAUUAUACUUUUCUGACCAAUACUAUUUGAGAUAAAUAAAAUUAUUUAUAAAAUCAAUGCAGUUUUCAAUUAAUUUUCAGUUGAAAGUAAAUAUAAUUGGAAUUGUAAAGUGACACAUUUUUGUAACAAGAAAAAAAGGUUAAAUGACAUUUAUUAUGAAACAAAGAGAGUACUGUUUAGGUAUCCGUUUGGGUACGAAUCGGUUCUUUCAAGUAUCAUGAUAUUUUAGUUUUGUAACUAGGCUAUGUUUGAAUAUUAUAAAUUUAUGGGCGGAGUCGAGUCAGGUCCUUUUGGAUUCGGAUGAGUUCGGUUAUGAUGUGUAGAAACCUAAAAAAAUUCAAAUAACCUAUAUAUUUAGAAAUAUCUUUAAACAAUUUAUAAAACAGCAAAACAUAACACGAAAAAGCGUGCAGGUCAAGCUCUAAUUAUUAUUAUUAAAACUAAAAUACAAAACAAUACUUGCUUAUUUUAAGUGAUUUCUUACAUCUUUUUAAUUCUUUUUUCUUUUUCUUUUAACUAUUUCAUUUAUUGUCUUUUCCAAAUGAUUCAACAUCAUUUAUUACCGAAGUACAAAACAGAACUUACCUAUUUUAACUGUUUUAUUAUAUUUUUUACAUUUUUUUCAUUAUUCCAAACUACUUCAUUAAAUGUAUUUAACAUAAUAAUUCGACGUCGUUUAUUUUACGUGUUAACCGUAAUAAUUUCACAUAUUUGAAUGAAGUUGAUCCAAUAUGGACAAGAAUUCAAACCAGUUAACAAUUUUUUUGUUGUUUACAUAAUUAUUUAGACAUAGACAUUCAUGUACACGUUCGGAUACAUAUCGGUUUUCUCAAGUAUCGACUUUUUAGAUUUUAAAUUAAAUUUCAUUUGGGUAUUAUAAAUUUAUUCAGAUUCUACAUAGUUCAAACUAAAAAUAUCGAAAUAAUCUAUGUUUAGAAAUGUCUUAACCAUCCGUACCGAUGCGCACAUCAUGCUCUAGUGUAGAUUAAAACAUAAGCCUAAUUAUGCAAAUGAAGAGGGCACAAAGUAAGGCAGACAAUAAGUUAAAAAGAUAUUGUAAUAGAAUAUAUCACUUUAACAAAUAAGUACACUACAAACAAAUCAAUAGAAUUUUUAAUAACAAAAAGAAAAAGUAGAAUUUUGUUCCUUUCUCAACUCUUCACUCUCUAUGCAGCUAAGCACUCUUUAGGAAGACCUUGAGGGAAUCUCUUCGUAUCCGUGCAAUAGUUGUAGAUCAUGUAGUUCUUCUGCACCCAUCUCAUCCUUUCUUGAGCCGUUGAGUCAAGCUCCUGCGACAGCCACGAACCAGUGGUCCCCUGUCCCGAGCCAUUAGGACAAGACGACUUGCCGUUUGACCAAACACAAGCUUCUUGGUUGAAGCCACGGUAAGAAGCAGUGAAAGGAGCUUUAGACCAAUCGGUUUUGACCAAACCACCUCUAGUGGCCCAAUCAUCAGCGUUCCAGAGACUAGAAUACAUUCUCAUUGGUUGGUUAUUGGGAAAUAGAGUACCAACAGAUUCCAUGUUCUUGAAUUCUCUAAUGGGAGUUCCAUCGACUGUGAAAAUGAUUCGUUGUGGGUUCCAUAGAAUGGUGUAAGUGUGGAAAUCAGCUGUUGGGUCGAACCAGAGUUUGAACUGCUGUUCUUUGUCUCCUUUGCCUUGUGUGUAGACAUUUGUGUGAAGUGUGUAAGGAUCUCCACUUAGGUUCCCUAAGAACUCGAAGUCAAUCUCGUCCCAUGUUGUUCCGGGUGAUUUCAACUGUAACGAAAAACUAAUUUUAGUAACAAGAACUUCAAAAUGUAACAAAAGAAAAAGAAACAUGGUUAUGUAACUUACGUAGAGUGUUGUGACUG